rnacentral:rRNA from 1 species
UACGUAGGUGGCAAGCGUUGUCCGGAAUUACUGGGUGUAAAGGGCGCGUAGGCGGGAGAGCAAGUCAGAUGUGAAAUCCCAGGGCUUAACUCUGGAGCUGCAUCUGAAACUGUUUUUCUUGAGUACUGGAGAGGAAAGUGGAAUUCCUAGUGUAGCGGUGAAAUGCGUAGAGAUUAGGAGGAACACCAGUGGCGAAGGCGGCUUUCUGGACAGUAACUGACGCUGAGGCGCGAAAGCGUGGGGAGCAAACAGGAUUAGAUACC